UACGUAGGGCGCAACCGUUAUCCGGAGUUACUGGGCGUAAAGGGCGUGUAGGCGGUUUGUUAAGUCUGGCGUGAAAGCUCUCGGCUAAACCGGGAGAGGUCGUUGGAUACUGGCAAACUAGAGGACGGUAGAGGCGUGUGGAAUUCCGGGUGUAGUGGUGAAAUGCGUAGAGAUCCGGAGGAACACCAGUGGCGAAGGCGACACGCUGGGCCGUACCUGACGCUAAAGCGCGACAGCAUGGGGAGCAAACGGG
rnacentral:rRNA from 1 species